AAACCGAUUUUUUUAACACUUUGGAUUGGAGGAAAUAAAGUUUCAGGAAUCCCUCACCAGGUGACACUGCAGUUAAAUAAUAACAACAAUGGCUGCCAUUCCCCACAUUGAUUAGUUGCCUGGUAGUUCUUAGUGGUGUGUGUCGUGCAUAGCCUACUAUGGUGUCGUGCUGGUAUUUUAGUAUAAGUGGUCCAGUUAAAGCGUGAUUAAAUCGUUGAAACAACUGAACCUGAAGAAAAGAAGAAUGCAAGUUGCAAAAAUAGUGAAUUAGUGAGCCAUGCUGGUGCUGCCAACAUAUUUGAAGUAAACUCAGUUCAAGCGUUGGUGCUAAGCUAAGUGUUUACCAGAAGAAAAGUCACCACGUAUUUUCCUACAUAAUGUUUUCUGCCCAGUUGAAUAAUACUUUGUAUUUGUAUUUCUUCUCAUCUAUUUCCACAUGAGUGUUUGAUUUUUUAACAGUGAACAGUCUGUGUGAGAGGAGAAUUGAAUGAUUGAGGCUGUGUAAAGUCUUCUAUCUUCUGUAUUCUAUUAACAGUUGAGGAAACCUGAAAGUGUGCAGCCAGUGCAGCCUACCGUCAACUAUUUUGUUCAAAAUCAUUGAAUUUUACUGAUUGUGCCAUCGAAAUGAUACUGAAUUCAUCAUAAUUAUCUGCUGUUUAUAUUGGAUUUCCUAGAUCACCAACCCCAGCACGGACCAGUCUAUCAUUCCAUCUUCUAGAGAACCUUGGAUAACUGAUUGGUGGUUUCAUGUGUUUCUAAAUUGGCAUUACAGACUUUAUGAGAAUAAGUCAUGUCCUUUCAAGAAAAUGGACAAGGACUUAGUCAUCAAGAUUCCUUGUUUGCUAACUCGUCGGGUGCUACCCUUGAAUCUCCCCAUUACUUCCUUACACAGGCCCUCUUGAUUGGAGGGUAACUCCUUCGUGAACUUUAUCCAUUGCUGAAAACCGACGAGAGCAUGCUGUAAUUCAAGACCGAUAAAUUGUGUAGUUAGCUAAAUUACAAUUGCAUAUCUGGGCUCCCUUCUUUUCUGUGGCCCCGUUUCCCUAACUAACCACUAACCAACGCCCGCCGGUGGUCACUCACCCGCUGUGAAA